rnacentral:rRNA from 1 species
AUUGAACGCUGGCGGCAGGCCUAACACAUGCAAGUCGAGCGGAUGAAGGGAGCUUGCUCCUGGAUUCAGCGGCGGACGGGUGAGUAAUGCCUAGGAAUCUGCCUGGUAGUGGGGGAUAACGUCCGGAAACGGGCGCUAAUACCGCAUACGUCCUGAGGGAGAAAGUGGGGGAUCUUCGGACCUCACGCUAUCAGAUGAGCCUAGGUCGGAUUAGCUAGUUGGUGGGGUAAAGGCCUACCAAGGCGACGAUCCGUAACUGGUCUGAGAGGAUGAUCAGUCACACUGGAACUGAGACACGGUCCAGCCUCCUACGGGAGGCAGCAGUGGGGAAUAUUGGACAAAGGGCGAAAGCCUGAUCCAGCCAUGCCGCGUGUGUGAAGAAGGUCUUCGGAUUGUAAAGCACUUUAAGUUGGGAGGAAGGGCAGUAAGUUAAUACCUUGCUGUUUUGACGUUACCAACAGAAUAAGCACCGGCUAACUUCGUG